ACCCUGCUGUUUUAAAGUGUCUUUCACUUCGUUCCGGUAAUCCGUCAAUUUAUCAACAUUGCAUUCGUCGCUGUACACGAAGUGAGGCUAAAAAGAAGAGGGAUGAAGCGAUUGAAACAUCUGUGCUUUCCGGAACACUUUAAACAUGUUUCGUUCGUCAACGUCGACGGGAAAUUCGGCCGAGUGGUCGGAUUCGAUCGAUUGCUAUCAAUCGCGUGUGUCAACGUCACUUUUAGGCGACGCACUUCUAUUAUCGGUUUGCCGUGAUUCUCGUGUUCCAAUUGCUGACACGGUGCGCACAGAAUCUCUACCAGAGGCAGACUUCUGUGGUGGUAAAGCAUGCAAGACCUACAGCAUGAAACUUUUAGCAUAAAAUAGGUAAGCUGAUCUGUUAAUCACUUAAAGAAGUUUUAUGAGUUGCUGACAGCUUAAGAAUUUAGGAAAGUUUAAGACUGAAGUGAAUGGUAUUUUGUUACAUUAUGAAGAGAGAAUUUCUAGCGACAUGGUUGUCCCCAGGGGAAGAUCC